rnacentral:lncRNA from 1 species
GUCAGGAAGUACACGCUGAGGUAUUUAGCAGUAAAAUGGCGUCAUCUCUUCAACUCUCAACUCACCCUCAGUCGAUUCAGGGAAAUGCGCAUAUGCAGACACAGGCACAUGCAAACACAUGUAAACACAUGCGCAAACAUGCAAACACAUAUAAACAUGCGUGAACGGCAGAACAGCAGGAAGGUAACGCCAGAGAGAAUUGGGAACAGCAGGAAGGUAAUGCGUGAGAAGUGGGAAUGGCAGGAAGGUAAUGGCAUGAGGAGAAGUAGGAACAGAAGGAAGGUAACGCCAGUGAGAAGUGGGAACAGAGGGAAGGUAACGCCAGUGAGAAGUGGGAACAGAGGGAAGGUAACACCAGUGAGAAGUGGGAACGGCGGGAAGGUAACACCAGUGAGAAGUGGGAACGGCGGGAAGGUAACGCCGUGAGAAGUGGGAACAGCAGGAAGGUAACACCAGUGAGAAGUGGGAACGGCGACGCCGGUGAGGGGAAGUGGGAACAGUUGGUGAAUUCGCCUAAGGCUCUAAUGGCAGUUCCUUGUCGUAUUCUUGUGACUUUUACAUAUGUUUGACGUUGUAUCAAAAUGAACUGGUGGCCACGCGGGACAGA